GACCUCUGCCAUCCCCUGAUUGGGUCUGGGCUGAACAAGGGGCGGUGUCUUGGGUCGGCCCUGCGGGCCGGCAUUGGGCGGCGGAGAAGUAGGGCGUGGUUUUAUGAAGUCAGUUCCGGUUGGUGUAAAACCCCCCGGGGCGGCGGCGAACGGGCUUCAGAUGCUUCUGGGUCGCGGUGGGGAAAGCUAGUCAGUUGGAGUGUGAGAGCUUGGGAGCCGAGCGCUAGAGCGACCCGACGAGGGAUGGCGGCCCCCGGGACCGCGGCCGCCGCGGCCACGGGCAGACUCCUGGUCCUGCUGCUGCUCGGGCUCACAGCGCCCGCUGCGGCGCUGGCCGGCUACAUCGAGGCUCUUGCAGCCAAUGCUGGAACAGGAUUUGCUGUCGCUGAGCCUCAAAUUGCAAUGUUUUGUGGGAAGUUAAAUAUGCAUGUGAACAUUCAGACUGGGAAAUGGGAACCGGACCCAACAGGCACUAAGAGCUGCUUUGGAACAAAAGAAGAAGUUCUUCAGUACUGUCAGGAGAUGUACCCCGAGCUCCAGAUCACAAAUGUGAUGGAGGCAAACCAGCCAGUCAGUGUGGACAAUUGGUGCCGGAGGGACAGAAAGCAGUGCAGGAGUCACAUUGUGAUCCCGUUCAAGUGUCUUGUGGGUGAAUUUGUAAGUGAUGUUCUGCUAGUUCCAGAAAAGUGCCAGUUUUUCCACAAAGAGCGGAUGGAGGUGUGUGAGAAUCACCAGCAUUGGCACGCUGUAGUCAAAGAGGCCUGUCUGACUCAGGGAAUGACCUUAUAUAGCUACGGCAUGCUGCUGCCCUGUGGGGUAGACCAGUUCCACGGCACUGAAUAUGUGUGCUGCCCUCAGACAAAGAUCAUUGAAUCUACUGUGUCAAAAGAAGACGAGGAAGAUGAGGAGGAGGAGGAGGGGGAGGAUGAAGAGGAAGACUAUGAUAUUUAUAAAAGUGAAUUUCCUACCGAAGCAGAUUUGGAAGACUUCACAGAGGCAGCUGUGGAUGUGGAUGACGAGGAUGAGGAAGAAGGGGAGGAAGUGGUGGAAGAUCGUGAUUACUACUACGACACCUUUAAAGGAGAUGACUACAACGAGGAGAACCCAACUGAACCCAGCAGUGAUGGGACUAUUUCAGAAAAGGAAAUUACUCACGAUGUUAAAGCUGUCUGCUCCCAGGAGGCGAUGACGGGGCCCUGCCGGGCCGUGAUGCCUCGUUGGUACUUCGACCUCUCCAAGGGAAAGUGCGUGCGCUUUAUAUAUGGCGGCUGCGGAGGCAACAGGAACAAUUUUGAGUCUGAGGAUUAUUGUAUGGCUGUGUGUAAAACGAUGACACCGUCCUGUCCAGCGUUCUGUCUCUUUCCGGGCCGUCCUCGUGACUGCAUCUGUGUGGUGCUCCCUGCCAACUCAGGUGUUUGCUGUUGGUCGUUUCCCUCAUCUUUGUGCUUUCUAGAUCUAGGCUGUGCUUUCCUGUUGGCAGUUGUAAGCUCAGUUUCCAUGUCUGUGCUCAUGUGGGUCUGGUGGUGGGUGGUGUGUUCCCUCCCUGGCACAGCGGGAGAGCCCGGGGGCUUGUUCUCUCCUGCCUUGCAGUCCGAGGCCCCCAGAGGCUUCUGUGUUGGCUGGGAAGGCAGCCUCGCCCUCAGCUCUCUGGUGGAGAGGCACAGGGUGGGUAAGCAGAUUGGCUGA
rnacentral:lncRNA from 1 species